rnacentral:lncRNA from 1 species
CCCGGAACUUUUAGUGUGUAUAUAUAUAUAUAUGUGUGUGUGUGUGUGUGUGUGAAUUUGCGGAUUUAAUAUUGUAAUCUUUGAAUUUGUGAUUUGGGGUUAUGAUUUGCUAUAUUAUGAACCGUGAAAUAUAGAUGAAGCGAACGGUUAACACUCUAUUCCAGGGAUAAACCAAAAUUUAAUUUUAUUAAAUUAAACUUGCAAAUUGAAUUAAUUUUCAACCAUUGAUGGUUUCAUGGGGGGUGGAGGGGACUACCUAUUGAAGAAACAUUUCUCAACCAGUUUUCUUGCAGCUUUUAAUAGGCAACUACUUAUUGAAAAGAAACUUUUAAUCUCCUUUUGAUGAACUUAUUUCUGUUUUUGUGAAAACAGCAGAGGUUCAAGAGAGAGAAAAAUUUCCUUAGGUGCUUUAAUGAGUUGAUGAGCUGACAAAAUCAGUUGGCUUAUUUACUAAUGUGAAUGUACCGACUGCUUUGCUAUUAUGAGAAAAUUUUUUAGUGAUGGGAAAAUCCAUCGUGGAAGCCCCUUUUCAUUAAUGAAAUAUUACAUUAACCCAUACUUUUAAGUGGCUGUCUAAUUUGAAAUUUCAUGAUCCAGUUCUUCGCUCGAGUAAAUUGAAGUUAAUAAAAAAUUUCAAUAAUAAUGUGGAGAUAAGAACAGCAAGUUUAGAAUAAGGCAUUCUACACACCACUCACACCACUAAUCUGACUGCUGUCACUGUUAUUGUUGUUACUUUUAUCAUUUCUCGAGUUACUUAACCAAGUUAUCUAUUAAUUUCUCAAUUACUGUAGUGUUGAAGGUGUUUGUGACAGUUCCAAU